rnacentral:rRNA from 1 species
GACGAACCGUGCAAACGUUGUCCGGAUUUACUGGGCGUAAAGAGCGCGUAGGCGGCUCGUUAAGUGAGAAGUGAAAGCUCUGGGCUCAACCCAGAAACCGCUUUUCAUACUGGCGAGCUGGAGUGAUGCAGAGGUGGAUAGAAUUCCCGGUGUAGCGGUGAAAUGCGUUGAUAUCGGGAGGAAUACCCGUGGCGAAGGCGGUCCACUGGGCAUCAACUGACGCUGAGGCGCGAAAGCGUGGGUAGCAAACAGG